AAACAACGCUCGAAGAGCCCGGAUGUCUCGCGAGUAUGAUGAGACACAACCUGUUCAGUGCGGCUUUCCGCCGGCGCUAGCUUGCCUGGGUGUGGCGUUUUCGGAGGAGAGCCGGUGUAGUAGCAGCAGGGGUCUAAGUGGACUAAGAAAUGGAACCAGGAAGAGCCUAUGUAGAUAAGAUUGAGUUCUAGGAGAAAAAGCAAGCAGGCAGCUGGUGGUUGUAUUGCCUCUGUGAAAAGGGAGUUCCAACAUAAAAAGCAGUAGCAGGUAUUCUACUACAGGGAGCAAUCUGUGAAUAUAGAGACCUGCCAGUGAGUCCCAAGGAGAAGACGGUGUGAUAGAUGACAAGCAAAAUGAAGGAAGAGAACAGACACAGACUCCAAAAGAAAGACUUCAGACAGGCUGAGUGAGCAAAAAGAGCCCACAGGGACAGAUUUUGGGGAGAAACGGCUGCCACCUACUUGGAAGAAUCAGUCUCUUGUGCAAAAACCUAGAGUGUUAGGAGGAGGAGAAUAGUGGUGGAAGCAUUACCAUGAUGUCCUCCUGUUGUGCUGAGAAUGCCUGUGCUGCUCUAGUCACCAGCAACAAAUGAGGUCAUGGCCCACCCAAGGGCAGGCAACUGAUGCUGCAGCUACCAAAUCUGCAGAGUGCUGCAAUCAGAUAGCCUCUUUCCUAAUUAAAAACAAAACUUCCCCUCUUUGGAAGACCCAUCCAUCCUUUCUCCUGUUUGCCAUUGCUGUUACUUUGAGGAAAGAGAUUUUUUAAAAAAAUAUUAUUCAAAAGGCAUGUAUACAUCAGCACUGAAAUGCACAGUAAUAUUUUAAUUAAAGAACAAAAAUAAUUGGCAA